UAUUGCUUUCAUUAUUUUGCUUCAUAUUAUGCUUUGAGUCUUUAAAUUUCUGAAUCUAUACAUGUUUUGUCAAGUCAUGUUCAUCCAUAUUGUCAUCAAUUCUUAGUAGUCCUAUUUUUUUGGCUUGAUUGUUUCUUGUUUUGGGUCUCUUUAUAUUGCUUUAAUCUGCUGUUAUUUUGAUCCUUUGGUGCUUUUUAUUUUUAGUUUGAGUUCAUAAUUGUGUCUUAGUUCAUACACAAUUUCCUUUCUCACAUUUCCAUUGUGUUAAUUUUGGUUAUCUUGCUGUUUUCUUCCAGUUUUCCAGUUUUCCCCUGUAACACCUCUCUGUUCUGGGCUGUUUUGUUUAACAAAUUUUUUCUACCCAUAGGAAAAUUCUGAAUUUCUGGAAAAAGCAAGUUUAAGGUGUUAUAGAAAAGACAAAAAAAGAAUGAGGUCAAAA
rnacentral:lncRNA from 1 species